UCCCUUUUGACCGAAUUGCUUGGGAAGUGUACAAACUUUACCUGUACCCCUUGCUAUCAGUAUGACUUUGAAACCGUUUAAACGUCGUUCAGAAGGGCCACAGUGUUUGGCAGCACCGCGGCUUUGUCCAAAAUUGUACCCUCCAUGUGGAUGUUAGGGGCAUCGGGGCUGGAGCUUUCUUGUCCCAAGUUGAUGCAGCUGGGAUGGAUCAUCCAGUGGCAACAUUCUCAAGAAAGUUAAAUUCAUACCAGGUUAAACAUUCUGAGUUUGAAAGGGAAGCCUUGGCCCUUGUUUGGUCUUUCCAACAUUUUGAUGUGAAUUAAGUGGCAAAUCCCAAAUUGUAAACACUGAGCAUAAUCUGUGGGCCUUUUUUCUAGAGCCAUACUUCCUUGGCAUUCGUCAUAAAAACAGGAAAACAGAACCUGCCUGCUGAUGCCCUACCCCGAAGCCUCUGUCCCAUUAAAAGAAGAAAGUCAUGUAAAGUAAAUCUUUCUUUGGCCAUUAAAAGGGGUGGGUGUGAGCUGCUUCUGUUGGAGUGCAGCAGGUUAAUGUGGCGCAUUGGGCCAAAAUCGAUAUAUAGCUUGCCCAAAACCUGACACUCUCUCUCUCUCUUGCUGCAGGGCUGGCUCUAUAUGGUUGGUUCCAGUACCAUUUUGGGUUUGUUUCUUUCUGGAACCAUCUUAUAACACUCCAUCCACGCCAUUUUAAACCCACAUCUAUACUACUCGCAUACCGAAGAUACCAACUUACACACACUAAUUGGAGCCUUAGAAUUUUGAUUAUUUAAUCAAUUCCUCUAAUUUAACCCAUUCUUCAUGUGCGGUCUCCCUCUUUGUUAUGGGCCUAGAUCCAAGGUCAAUACAUGUUACAUUGGGAGCUAAGGUUAGAGUCAAAUGACUUGCACUAGAGACGUUUUUGUUGGCAUUUAUAGAAAGGGAGCACUCCAACCACCUGAUUACAUAGACACGCUCUAGUGGGACAAACACUCCUCCGCGUCUCAGUCUACAUAUACACCGCUAACCAAUAGGUCCACACACAGCAUAGGGUUUUUCCAUUCCAUUCCAUUCCCGUUUUGCACAAAACAUGCAGAGGCUUUUAUAUUUUCAUGUGAC
ensembl:lncRNA